UGGGGAAUUUUGCGCAAUGGGGGAAACCCUGACGCAGCAACGCCGCGUGCGGGACGAAGGCCUUCGGGUUGUAAACCGCUUUCAGCAGGGACGAAUUCCGACGGUACCUGCAGAAGAAGCCCCGGCUAACUACGUGCCAGCAGCCGCGGUAAUACGUAGGGGGCGAGCGUUAUCCGGAUUCAUUGGGCGUAAAGCGCGCGUAGGCGGCGCGUCAAGCGGGACCUCUAACCCCGGGGCUCAACCCCGGGCCGGGUCCCGGACUGGCGCGCUCGAGUGCGGUAGAGGCGAGUGGAAUUCCCGGUGUAGCGGUGGAAUGCGCAGAUAUCGGGAAGAACACCGAUGGCGAAGGCAGCUCGCUGGGCCGACACUGACGCUGAGGCGCGAAAGCUGGGGGAGCGAACAGG
rnacentral:rRNA from 1 species